AACAAGGUCUCCGUAGGUGAACCUGCGGAGGGAUC
rnacentral:rRNA from 11 species